GACGAACGCUGGCGGCGUGCUUAAUACAUGCAAGUCGAACGGACAGGCCCUGCUCUUGUGGGGCGCUCGAGUGGCGCACGGGUGAGUAACACGCGAGUAAACUGUCCUUGACUUUGGGAUAUCUCUAGGAAACUGGGGCUCAUACCCGAUAGGAGCUUUUGCUGCACGGUGGGCGUUGGAAAGUUUCGGCGGUUCGGGAUGGACUCGCGGCUUAUCAGCUUGUUGGUGGGGUUGUGGCUUACCAAGGCUUUGACGGGUAGCCGGCCUGAGAAGGUGACCAGCCACAAUGGGACUGAGAGACGGCCCAGACUCCUACGGGAGGCAGCAGUGGAGAAUAUUGCACAGUGGGCGGAAGCCUGAUGCAGCAACGCCGCGUGCGGGAUAACGGCCUUCGAGUGGUAAACCGCUUUCGCCGGUGACGAAGCGUGAGUGACGGUAAUGGGUAAAGAAGCACCGGCUAACUACGUG
rnacentral:rRNA from 1 species